rnacentral:rRNA from 1 species
ACUGACUGCUAUCGGAUUGAUACUAAGCCAUGCGAGUCAUUGUAGUAAUACAAGGCAGACGGCUCAGUAACGCGUAGUCAACCUAACCUAUGGACGGGAAUAACCUCGGGAAACUGAGUAUAAUGCCCGAUAGGACAUUAUGCCUGGAAUGGUUUAUGUUCCAAAUGAUUUAUCGCCGUAGGAUGGGACUGCGGCCUAUCAGUUUGUUGGUGAGGUAAUGGCCCACCAAGACUAUUACAGGUACGGGCUCUGAGAGGAGUAGCCCGGAGAUGGGUACUGAGACACGGACCCAGGCCCUAUGGGGCGCAGCAGGCGAGAAAACUUUGCAAUGUGCGAAAGCACGACAAGGUUAAUCCGAGUGGUUUCUGCUAAAGGAACCUUUUGUCGGUCCUAGAAACACCGAUGAAUAAGGGGUGGGCAAGUUCUGGUGUCAGCCGCCGCGGUAAAACCAGCACCUCAAGUGGUCAGGAUGAUUAUUGGGCCUAAAGCAUCCGUAGCCGGCUCUGUUAGUUUUCGGUUAAAUCUGUACGCUCAACGUACAGGCUGCCGGGAAUACUGCAAAGCUAGGGAGUGGGAGAGGUAGACGGUACUCGGUAGGAAGGGGUAAAAUCCUUUGGAUCUAUUGAUGACCCCCUGUGGCGAAGGCGGUCUACCAGAACACGU